rnacentral:lncRNA from 1 species
UUUUCCUAUGGAUUUGAACUUGUUCUCUCUAAGACCUUAACUAUUGAUGUAGGAUCUAUGCCUAUGUGCGCAGCCUAUGAAUGUGGUGCUGGUAAGCAGUGGAUCUAACAACAAUUGACGAAGGGGGAAAAUCCGUAGCUCUAUUUUUGAACUGACCGGAUGUACUACUAAAUUAAAGCCUUCUUACUAACAAAAGAAAACCGUAGCAACUAGACCUAGAUCGAAAAGAGAAAACUGCAUCACAAUGGGAUUAAGAUUGAAGAUAAAAUCGCAUCAUAAUUUUUACUACUACUACUACUACCACCACCACCACUUCUUC